ACUUGGAUAACCGUAGUAAUUCUAGAGCUAAUACAUGCACAAAGUCCUGACUGCUUGCGGGAAGGAUGUAUUUAUUAGAUAUAAACCAAUGGCGGGCUUGCCCGUGUUUCGGUGAAUCAUAAUAACUUAGCGGAUCGCAGUGACCUUGAGUCGGCGAUGAAUCAUUCAAGUUUCUGCCCUAUCAGCUUUCGAUGGUAGGGUAUUGGCCUACCAUGGCGUUAACGGGUAACGGAGAAUUAGGGUUCGAUUCCGGAGAGGGAGCCUGAGAAACGGCUACCACUUCUACGGAAGGCAGCAGGCGCGUAAAUUACCCAAUCCUGACAUAGGGAGGUAGUGACAAAAAAUAACAAUACGUGACUUAACAGUCGUGUAAUUGGAAUGAGGCAAAUUUAACAUCCUUGCCGAGUAUCAAUU
rnacentral:rRNA from 1 species